GGAGUUGUAGCUCAGUGGUAGAGCACUUGCCUAGCAUGUGUGAGGCCCUGGGUUCGAUCCUCAGCACCA
rnacentral:tRNA from 1 species